AACCUCUUAGGGUGAAACCUGGAGAGUUUCCAGUACUCUACCAGUUUUGACUACGGGAGGAAGAGAUAAGCAGAAGCCUGUCCAUUCCAUUCCUAGCUUGGUCAGUGGCUAAUGAGUGGAAGGCAAUCUGCUACAAGU